AUCAAGGACAACGAGUUCGAAAUAUUUCAAUACAUAAAUACAUAAAUACAUAAAUAACAUUGGACGUGUUGGUUGUUGGACGAUAAUGGCAGCGCAUAAUAACAUGUCGGUUAUGACCGGAAUGCACAAUUAUAUACAAACACAAAUAUAAAUCAAAUAAAUUCUUUAGUUUUAUUUAAGAUAAGUGAGCUCUGUAAUUACUGUCAUAAAUUUGUCAUUUUGAAAUGAAAAACACAAAAAUUCAGUGGAAUUAGAUAAUAUGGUCUAAAUUAUCGUAUUUUUUAGUAAAAGCUUCAAUUAUGGGAGGACAAAUUGAACAGAUUGCCAAAAUAGCUGUUUGUGCUGUCAUUAUUUUGGCUUGCGUAAAAAUAAUUUUACGAUAGUGAUAAAAAUUUUAUUUUAAUUUCCUGUAAACUGCAAUGGGAAGAGACGAAGAAAACGCUCUGAAGAUUGUUUGUUUUUUGUUGAUUGCAUUGGCUGUUUUGAAAGUGAUGCGUUAAACACCAGAAGAAAAUUGACUUAAGAAACAAUACUUUAAAACAAAAAUGAAAAAUAGCAAAUUUGUUCUUGUAUUUUGACUUAAAUGUAAAAAAAUAAAAUGUAUUGAGGCUGAAAAAUCAAUAA